UACGGGGGGGUAAGCGUUGUUCGGAAUUACUGGGCGUAAAGGGCUCGUAGGCGGCCAACUAAGUCAGACGUGAAAUCCCUCAGCUUAACUGGGGAACUGCGUCUGAUACUGGAUGGCUUGGAUUCGGGAGAGGAAUGCGGAAUUCCAGGUGUAGCGGUGAAAUGCGUAGAUAUCUGGAGGAACACCGGUGGCGAAGGCGGCAUUCUGGACCGAUAUUGACGCUGAGGAGCGAAAAGCCAGGGGAGCAAACGGG
rnacentral:rRNA from 1 species